ensembl:lncRNA
GGGGGGGGGAGGAUUUCAGCCUCCUAUCAGACUGACCGAUAUGGCUGGGGGGAGUGAGGGGAGAGAAUUUAGCUUCCUGACAGCUUGGUGUAUAAAGCUAUUUCUGAAGGAGCAAGGGCCCACCACGGAGCGACAUGUGACUGAGCGGCAGGUUUCACAGAGGGAGAGGGAGAGAGAGAGAAAGAGAGCGAGCGAGAGAGAGAGAGAGAGCGAAAGAGAGGGAGGGAGAGAGAGAGUGAGUGACAGAGAGAGAGAGAGUGAGUGAGUGACAGAGAGAGAGAGAGACAGCGAGAAAGAGGGGGAGGAAGGUUGUGAAAGAAAAAAGGAAGGAAAAUAGAGGGUGUGAGGGUGAGAGUGCAGAGGAAGAGGGAGAGAAUGCUAGGGAGAUUGAAAGAUGGAGUGGAGAUGAACAGAGAGUGAGCGAGAGGUAGAGGGGAGUGGACAGCAAAUGGGAGAGCGAGACAGAGAUACAAAUAGAGAGAGAGGGGCAGGCAGAAGGAGAGAGUGGGAAGAGAGGCCGAAAGAGAGUGUAAGUAAGGGGGGAGAGGCAGAAAGAGAGGGACGGAGAGGCAGAAAGAGAGUGAGGGAGGAGAGGCAGAAAGAGAGGGACGGAGGAGAGGCAGAAAGAGAGUGAGGGAGGAGAGGCAGAAAGAGAGAGGGAGGAGAGGAAGAAAUAGAGCAUAAAUGAGGGAGGAGAGAAGUGAUCACUGUCCCACGUUAGUGCACACAUCUCAUAUUUAUGUAAAGUGUAAAGACGUAACUUCCUAGACCAAUAAGGGAAUAGGCGUCUUGAAGGUUUGGGUGGAUGCAUCUCUCUUCUCGCUUUGCUGAAAACGUAACAUUUAUUAAAACAUCUUUCUUAGUUCAACCAUAUUUAAUCUGACUCCAUUUUAUUUGUCUGACUCCACUCUAUUAGGAAAUCAGCCUUAGCUCCUAGCUUUUAAUCUGUAUUAGUACAGGUGUAACAGGCCAAAUUAACCCCCGCCCAGAUUAAACCUGGGUAUACUUUGGCCCAGGCCAGAUUAAACCUGGGUAUACUUUGGCCCAGGCCAGAGUAUACCCCGGGGAUAAACUGUCCUAGGCCAAACUAUACCCGGGGGUGUAAAAUAGCCUAGGCCAGACUAUACCCCUCCAGGCUCCUUCUUUU